UAAAAGUUAACUCAUAUAUCCAUGAAGUUAGAACGUUUGUCUACGUUUGCCGCUAAGGGCGCUGUUCCAACUCCAUACAAAUUAGAGUUA
rnacentral:pre_miRNA from 1 species